rnacentral:rRNA from 1 species
CAGUCGCCGCGGGAAAACCAGCACCUCGAGUGGUCAGGAGGUUUAUUGGGCCUAAAGCAUCCGUAGCCGGUUGCAUAAGUUUUCGGUUAAAUCUAUGCGCUUAACGUAUAGGCCGCCGAAAAUACUGUGCAGCUAGGGAGUGGGAGAGGUACACGGUACUCGAUUGGAAGGGGUAAAAUCCUUUGAUCUAUUGAUGACCACCUGUGGCGAAGGCGGUGUACCAGAACACGUUCGACGGUGAGGGAUGAAAGCUGGGGGAGCAAACCGGAUUAGAUACCCCUGUAGUCCCUGUCUCUUAUAC